AGCGAACGCUGGCGGCAGGCUUAACACAUGCAAGUCGAGCGGGCCCUUCGGGGUCAGCGGCGGACGGGUGAGUAACGCGUGGGAACGUGCCUUCUGGUUCGGAAUAACCCUGGGAAACUAGGGCUAAUACCGGAUACGCCCUUUUGGGGAAAGGUUUACUGCCGGAAGAUCGGCCCGCGUCUGAUUAGCUAGUUGGUGGGGUAACGGCCUACCAAGGCGACGAUCAGUAGCUGGUCUGAGAGGAUGAUCAGCCACACUGGGACUGAGACACGGCCCAGACUCCUACGGGAGGCAGCAGUGGGGAAUAUUGGACAAUGGGCGCAAGCCUGAUCCAGCCAUGCCGCGUGAGUGAUGAAGGCCUUAGGGUUGUAAAGCUCUUUAUCCGGGACGAUAAUGACGGUACCGGAGGAAUAAGCCCCGGCUAACUUCGUGCCAGCCGCCGCGGUAAU
rnacentral:rRNA from 1 species